rnacentral:lncRNA from 1 species
ACCACUUGGCGAAAAACAAAAAUCUGUUGAACAUGAAAUUGGUGAGAUACGUGAAAAUGUAAAAGUUAUUUUGGAGAAAGCUAGACACAAAAAGUAUAAAACGAAUUUGACGAAAGAAGAGUAAAAUGGAAAAAAGAAGGCUCUACAAGAUAAAAGAAAAAUUUUCUUACCGGCAGAUAAAGGACGAAUAAUGGUAGCUAUGGACUGAUUUGAAAGUGAAGGUGGUGAACAAAGUUAUGAAUACAAAAUGAAACAAGUAUUGGUUGAUCUCAAUGCAAACCUUCCAUAAGAGCAGAAAAGGACUGGGAUUUGACUGAUAAAGUCUGUCGAGAUGGUACAAGGUUAUCGAAACGAUUGUCGAAAGAGGAGAAAAUCCCUAGGUUAUCAGGAUUGCCAAAAAUCCACAAAGAUGGUGUUCCAUUGAGAGGUGGUCUCAACGGUAGGAUCACCAUUCCAAUUCUGAAAACAAUUCAGGGAAGAAGUGGACUUUAUCUAAAACUUUCGCGAGAAUUGAAAGAAAAAGUUAAGAACUGGCGUGUGGAAAGAAACGAGAUAGUCGUGAGUUAUGAUGUGAAGAACUUAUGUCCAUCGAUUCCAAUAGAUGAGGCAUUAAAAUUGAUUGAAAAGUUGUUAAGAGAAAGUAAAACCCUAGUAAAUAUAACUGAC